rnacentral:lncRNA from 1 species
AGCUACAUCCGUCACCUGACACGGCCCUACCAGGAACAGCCGCGCUCCCGCGGAUUCUGGUGCUGCUCGCGUCCCCGCUCCCCUAUUCCCCUUAUUUUAUUCCUGGCUCCCCUCGUCGAAAGUCUUCCAUUCUUCAAACUAGAUUAUUUAAAAAUGAAAAAGGAAGAAAGGAAAGCGAGGUCAUCUCAUUGCUCUAUCCGCCAAUCAGGAGGCUGAAUGUCAGUUUUGAACUAAAAGCCGCUCCGCUCCUCUUCUAGAUUUGGAAAACAAGCGAAAUUAAACUAAACCGCUGCACGCCUCUGACGCGACAUCUGGACACGGCGCGGCGCUGGCGCUGCCGGAGCUGUCGACCCGGCCUGGCGCCGGACUAGGACUAUUUGCCACGACAUUUCAAAGGAUUCCAAGAGAGAAUAUUGGUGUCCAUGCUGUGAUGAUUCCUCAGCUCCUCUCAUCUGAUCUCCGUCCUGGCCCCCAUGACUUUCUUUGUGGUAGUUAGGGUGUGGUAUGUGCCACUGAGGCCCACACCUAUUGCUUGUCCCUUUUGAUGAGAAGAAUAAGCCUCAUUCUGAUUCAACAGCAGAGAUCAAAGAAAAGACUUCUGUUUUCUGGCCACCAGAUAUAUGUUAUCUGUGCUUAAAGAAUUGAAAAACACACAUCAAAGGAGAAUUUUCUUGGAAAGAGAGGGUUCAAGCAUCACUGUUAGGUGUGCUGGAAUCCUUUCCCGAGUCAGUACUGCUUUCUAGAAGAAAACCGGGGAGAUCUAUUUGGAAUGUAUCUAACUCCAAAGAAACCAUCAGAGGUAACAGUAGAGACGGGGUUUCACCAUGUUGGCCAGACUGGUCUUGAACUCUCGACCUCGUGAUUCGCCCGCCUCGGCCUCCCAAAGUGCUGGGAUUACAGGUGUGAGACACCACACCCGGCGGAUAGAGAGAAUUUUGACAGGUGAGGAGGUAUUCCAAUGCAAAAGAAUAAUAGGAGCAAAAGCACAGUGGUGAGAAAUUGGAGGGGAACUGUGAAAAUUGCCACAUAGAUUAGAGGCAGGAAAAUAAAGGACGGCUAAGUUUAUAUAGUGAACAGUGAGCCGCAUGGACACAGGUGACUGUUUUCUCCUUUUUGAACCCCUGCUUACUCCAGAGUCACCACCUCUCCUGGCUUUCUGCCAAUCUUCUUGGCCACAGUUUCUCGGUCUUCUUUUCUGGCUUCUCUUCCUUGGCCUGAAUGCUACAUGUUAAGUGAUGUCAGCUUCAGUUUUCUUAACCUCUCUUCUCUUAAGUUGCUAUCAUUUAAAUAUCUUUAAAUAUCAUCUACAUCCAAGUGACCUCUAAACCAGUAAUUUUACCCAUGACCCAUCUCCUCAACUCCGGAUUGUAUAUAAAACUGUCUACUCAACAUCUUCACUUUUGAUGUCUAAAUCUCUAUGUCCAAUUUAGAAUUCUUGAUUCUUUGCUUUCCCUCCCUCCUGGAAAUCCUGCUCUUACCAGUCUUCCCCAUCUUAAUUAAUGAACCUGACAUUCACCUAGUAGCUUAGUCCUCAAAACUAGGGAUUAAUCUAGAUUUAGUCAUUUUUCUUACUCUUGCCAUAUAAUAACAUAUUAUUCUGAGUUUACCUUUACCCGACCCCAAAUAGGUAACUGCUGUUUUUGUUAUAAGAUAGUAAUAUUUGCCUCUGAGUGUAUGUGAAUUAUUUUGAUAAAAAUAAAUAUUAUUUUUAAAAUAUUAA